UUGCAUAGUCCAUUUUAAUGAAAUAUAUUUCUUUGAAAAAAUUAUAAAUGUACCUAAGAGCACAAAAUAGGGUCUUGAGAUAGUCUGUGUGGAGUCCAGGAUGUUGGAUGUGAGGGGCAGGGCCAAAAAUAUGUUAAAUAUUGACAAGGAGUAUAAUUAUUAACUAAGCUUCAACUCCAAAUCACUUUUAAACUGGCCUCUCUCGGCCUGACAUAGCACUGCUGACUGACGCUCCCCUCUGACCUGCUCGCUCUCUUUGCUGUCACUAACUUUGCUGUUUUCAGUUCCUUUUUAAUUUUUUUAUAGCCAUAUUUUGCUUCGCUUCCCUUAAUUCUUUAAUCUCUAUAUUUAGAAAAAAGUUUCUUUUGUUUGCAUACAUUCUCAUUUUUUUCUGAUACAUCUAGCUCCAAAAACCUGGACUCCCAUGAGGAAGAACUGUGAAUGUGGCACCACUUCCUCUUUUCUUGCUUUUUGGCAUCUUCUUAUUUUUGUUUUGUUUAUUUAUUUAUUUAUUUUUAGAAAACUUGAAGAACUACCCUGUAUAGUGAGAAUGGGACACUGACUCUGUAACAUUUGUGAGGGAUUAUGUGCACUUCCUUCCGCUGUCUAAAGGGGACGCUUUCCAAAUAUUUGGUGCUGACUGGUUGUAACAGCAACUCCAUGUGGAAGGUUUCUUAUGUCUUCCAGUGGAGCUGCUGUUGCGUGCAGAUAGUCACCCUUAUCUACUUUGGUUCUGCAUGAAGAUACAGUCCUAAUUAAUUAUCUGUAAUUAUUAAUUAUGUGGCUGUAAAUGUAUUUGCAUGUUGUCAGAAAGCAUGUUUAACCCAGUGUCUAGGACACAGGGUGAUGACCUAUGAAUUGACAGCCAGUGUUUGCAGUCCAGCUGCCUGUCAGUUCUGUAGGCCACUGUCCUGUUUAUCCUACUAAACACACACUGAUUUGCACAGAGAAUGCAUGGUUUUGUAUAAAUGUUGGACUAUAAUUUUCUGGGAACAUUUAUGUUAAGGCUAUAUUACAACAUGAUUUAUUUGAUAUUAUGUUAAUUUGUUUUAUUUUACUGCAUAUAAUUUCAUUUGAACAUUAAAUUAUUUCAAAAUCAA